AGCUCGGUAGCUUAGUUGGUAAAGCAUUCAUCUAGCAUACAAGAGUCGAGGGUUCGAAUCCCACCCGAGCAC
rnacentral:tRNA from 1 species